UGGCAUGAAGUUGAUGUUGCG
rnacentral:siRNA from 1 species